GGGGGCCGUUCUCUGAUGCUUAUCGUACCUUGUCCUUUGUUCCUUACCUAUUGAAAUAAGUUCUGGGUUUAUGAGAUUUGUUACUUAGCUGGUGAAACAACUUUUUGGUUUGCGAGAUUUGUUCCUCACCUGGUGAAAUAAGUUCUUUGUCUGUCUAAUAUGUUCCACUGAUAAACAAAUUAUCUUAUAUAAUGAACAUCUGUCAUCAGUGAGUUUAAAGUUAUCAUUCAAGUGCAUUACAAAAAUUAGUAAUAUAUUAAUAAUAAAAUGAAUAAAAAUUGUAAAUGAUCCAAUUCGG
rnacentral:lncRNA from 1 species